AUUAAUUAAUGUGUUUAAAUAGUUGAAUCAUUUCUGCCUGCUCUAAUACAUGAAGUGUCUGUGAGAUCACACACCCUCAAUGGGCGGAGUUUAGUGAUGAAAGUCCCCCUUUAAAAGUUCGAACAGUCUUUCUCUCCCUUCUCUCUUUCUCUGCCCUUCUCCCCCGCUCAGCACUCUACUUUCCCUCUCUCUUUUGCUUAACGCUUAAUUCUAUUUUGGGCCAAGAGCCAUUGCUAAACUACCACGUGGCAUUCUUUGAUUCUUUACCUUUGGGACAAACUCAAAGUUUAACCUGACGCUUUUAAGGUGCGUCAAGCUUUUGAAUUUUUAAGAGAACUUCCGAGCUGAGCUUUUCAAAUUAUUACAGAAAAAGCGACUUUUCCUUUUUCAUUCAAUUUUCAACGCUUUUACUAAAGUUUUACUUUUUCUAAAGUCACAAAGACUUUAAUUUGGCUCCAACCAUUUUUGAAAGCUACUAAGAACCAUUUUCAACAAACACCUUCCACCUCUGGGUCACUGCAAGCUGACAACUCCGCUGAUUCCACACCUGACUGCAGCAGCCGGCAAAACCAGCCGACACCAGCCCUGGGAUCACACCGGGGACACCUCUGAGUGAACCCCUCCGACCCAGGUGAGCUCACGCUGCCCGAUAUCGAUGGCGGACGGACGGAACCAGCCCUCCAACAGCAUCUAAUCGACCCAGUCCAGGCUCCAUGAAGGAGAUGACCUUUGGCAACAUCUCGACAUCAAAGUGGGCAGGCAUACCAAAAGUGCCACAGCUGAUGCCAUCCAGGAGGUGCAGAGGACAAUAUUGCCAGGUCCCAGGAUCCUCUAAGAUACUGGGACAACCACAAGACAGUAUAUCCAAACCUCUUCCAGCUGUCAUUACAAUUUCUCUGCACUCCAGCCUCAUCUGAGCCCUGUGUGCGGGUGUUUUCUAAAGCUGGAGAAGUUGCAUUACACAAGCGUAACAAACUCAAAUUCAAGACUUUGGAACAACUUCUUUUUCUGAAUGAAAAUUUGUAAAAAAAAAAAAUAAAAUCCCAGUCCACAAGCAUCCUCAUUCACAACACGUUCACUUAGAUUUUUCAUGUUAUGAUACAUGUUCACAUUAUUUAUUAUUAUUUAAGAUUUUAAUAUAAAUGAAGAUAUGAAAUGAUACAAAAUGAAUUACCAUUAACCUAGUAUAUACUAUUAUUGUAUAUACUAGGCCAUGAAAUCAGUGUCAGUUGAGUGUCAACUCAGGUGCCUGUAGGAAUUUUUAAGGUCCAGCAGAUGUCAGUAUUCAGUGACACAGCAUCGACACAGUAUCAAUACAGUUUGGCAAUGUGUUGAAACGCUUCAUGAUGCCUCAUCAAGGGCGUAGGUUUGGUCUCAGCUUUGGUAGGGACAAUACCACACACCCCACCCGGCCCCCCUGCUCACCACCAUCACCCCCUAACCCACUCAUACCAUUAGACGCACAGUACAGCAUAAUA